rnacentral:snRNA from 1 species
AAAGUUUCUCGGCCUUUUGGCUAAGAUCAAGUGUAGUAUCUGUUCUUAUCAGUUUAAUUUUGUGAUGUUCUAAGCAAAAUAUUGCAAAGUUCUGAAUUUCUGGUUCUGGCAUAUUCCAUACGGGCAGUUCUAGAUCUA